CUGUAGUAGGGUCCACAUAGAUACUAGUCAUGCUGGUGUAGUCUAUAGCUGAGCUGGUUAAACUGUAGUAGGGUCCACAUAGAUACUAGUCAUGCUGGUGUAGUCUAUAGCUGAGCUGGUUAAACUGUAGUGGGGUCCACAUAGAUACUAGUCAUGCUGGUGUAGUCUAUAGCUGAGCUGGUUAAACUGUAGUAGGGUCCACACAGAUACUAGUCAUGCUGGUGUAGUCUAUAGCUGAGCUGGUUAAACUGUAGUAGGGUCCACAUAGAUACUAGUCAUGCUGGUGUAGUCUAUAGCUGAGCUGGUUAAACUGUAGUAGGGUCCACAUAGAUACUAGUCAUGCUGGUGUAGUCUAUAGCUGAGCUGGUUAAACUGUAGUAGGGUCCCACAUAGAUACUAGUCGUGCUGGUGUAGUCUAUAGCUGAGCUGGUUAAACUGUAGUAGGGUCCACAUAGAUACUAGUCAUGCUGGUGUAGUCUAUAGCUGAGCUGGUUAAACUGUAGUAGGGGUCCACACAGAUACUAGUCAUGCUGGUGUAGUCUAUAGCUGAGCUGGUUAAACUGUAGUAGGGUCCACAUAGAUACUAGUCACGCUGGUGUAGUCUAUAGCUGAGCCGGUUAAACUGUAGUAGGGUCCACAUAGAUACUAGUCACGCUGGUGUAGUCUAUAGCUGAGCCGGUUAAACUGUAGUAGGG
rnacentral:lncRNA from 1 species